rnacentral:rRNA from 1 species
AGAGUUUGAUCCUGGCUCAGGAUGAACGCUAGCUACAGGCUUAACACAUGCAAGUCGAGGGGAAACGACAUCGAAAGCUUGCUUUUGAUGGGCGUCGACCGGCGCACGGGUGAGUAACGCGUAUCCAACCUGCCCACCACUUGGGGAUAACCUUGCGAAAGUAAGACUAAUACCCAAUGACGUCUCUAGAAGACAUCUGAAAGAGAUUAAAGAUUUAUCGGUGAUGGAUGGGGAUGCGUCUGAUUAGCUUGGUUGGCGGGGUAACGGCCCACUAAGGGCGACGAUCAGUAGGGGUUCUGAGAGGAAGGUCCCCCACAUUGGAACUGAGACCAGGUCCAAACUCCUACGGGAGCA